rnacentral:lncRNA from 1 species
CUUUACAAUUUAUUUCUUAAAACUUUUAUAUAUUUCAUUAUAUACUUCUUCAUUGCACUUUAAAUACAUUUCAAAACACAUAAAAUAUAUUUGUAUACUAAACUUUUCCAGGCUACAAAAGACUAACAUUUAUAGUCACAAAGAGGAGGUUGAAAUAUUAGUUCAAUUGUCUGAAUCCAACACACCUUUUUCAUUUUCAAUAUAAUGCAACAUAUAAACAUACUUCAUUUAAUCAACACAAUCACGGUUUAAAAUUUUAGGCCAGAGUCAGAAAAAAUAACAUACAAAUUUAUGGACAAAGCAAUUAAACAAUACGAUUAAGUUAAGGAUUUACAUACUAGAGGAAUGAAAUCCAGUACCCACUAGUGCUUAUUGUUUAGAACAUAUAAGUACAAGCAUUUACAAUAAUAUUUCUUCUAUGCAUUAGAAAUUGAGAGGCAGCCAUAGAUUUGUGCUACACAUUGUAAUUCAGUUUUCUUGGUUUAGUCUGGUUUUUAAACACAACAGUGCAGACAAAUAUUCCAUGAUAAAUAAAGCUACAGUCGACAGUAAAGCAAUUAAAGGGCAAUUGUUAAAUCCAACGAUUUUUAAUAUAAUGUUGUUUACUUAUCCCAUAUUUUUAACAAAUAUGUAUUUGUGGGGGUAAAAAAUAAAACGGAAUGUCAAAACAUAGACCUCUUUUUCAUUUAGAUGGGUGCGUCCAUCUUGGUUCCUUGACAAUCUUUGGUACAAGAUCUGUCCUUUGCAUGUGAAAGUGAGAAAUAAGAAGUCAUACAAGAGGAGACCAUGAAACAAUGUUUACAUAACUCCUUCUCAUUUGCAAUGUGUGACCUGGCUGUGCCUGGACACAACUGGAUUGUGAUGUCGUUUGUUAAAUAUUUUUAUAUAAAUUUAAAAGAAAAUGUAGCAUCUCAUUACAACAAAGUUCAGCAGAAGCUCAAGAUAAUUUUCAAUAUUUUAUUCACUGGUGUAAAUUCCACAGAAGGGACUGUUCCCCUUUCGGCAUAAAUAUAUAUAAAUAAAAUAGAUUUUAAAGUACCACGACGAUAUUUUAUAUGGCCAGUACACAAUAAUUAAGCAGCUUUAGUAAUGUUUGUCUAGGAGAGUCACAUCCAUAAUUUGGUCAUAACAAAGGUCCUUGUGUAGUUUCCUAAUAAAUUAUCAAUAUAUUCAUAUAGUAAUCUGCUAAAUACAUGAUAUGCCUAUUAUUUUCAUAGGUAAGCUAUUUUUUGUUGUUUAAUCCUCCAUUUCACAGUAUGAUGUGAUGAGCAAACUCUGCUGCACAGUGUGAUAUAAUAUUGUGACUAUCAGGGCUAAAAUCUCAGUGAAGCACCGGGACAUACAAGUUCCAGGCUCCUAAAGUUUGAAGGAACUAGACUUCUAGGGUGCAACUGCUGCUUUUAUCCCUCUCCCCUUACUCAUACACACUCCUAUCUCUAUCAAUCCCCCUGCUCAUAUAUCGCUUUUGGGAAAAGGACAGAAUUUAUGAUGGUUGCGUAAAGUGCUGUAGCUGCCCUGUUAGGAAAAAUAAUUUCAUUUAUCGAGGGACAUGUAUGUCUCUAUGAUACAAAGUAAGGGAGCUCUAGUGAAGGUAGGUGUAUGUAUGUCGCAUACAUACAGAAAACAGGCGAUAUCUGGCCCUCUAGCUACUGUGGAAAAUAACUUAAUUAUUAUGUUUUUUUUCCCCUAUAUUUUUUAUUUAGGUAAUAUCAAUGGUACAUAACUGAAUAAAGCGUUUGGGGAAAAAUAAUGCCACCAAUAGCCACUCGACCUCCAGCCUCACGGGUUAUGAUGCAUGGAGAAUCUGUCAAUGGUAUUAUUUUUCAAUUGCAUUAUGUAUCCUCUCUCAUUUUGUAUAUUGAUUAAGUAUAUGCAAAACUGCAGAAAACAAAGUGAUAUUAGUCACGUAGGAAACAUUUUGGAAUGAUAGCAAUUUUUUUUCAAAGUACUUGGAAAAUUAUACAUUUUUAGAAUAUAUUACAAAGCACUCAAUAUGUAUGUGUCUGUGUUUUUGCAAAAUUAAACUUCUUUAAAAGCUAUUAGUCAGUAGGUGUCUGAGUAAGAAUGAACUAACUCUUAAAGGCAGUAGGAAAGCCUGAAACCUCUAAAUGUAUUAAAGAUUUAUGAAGAAACAGUGAAUACCAGGAAAUCACAAUUAAAGGUGUUAUGGUUUUGAUGAGAGAUAAACAACAGUGCAAUAUAUGUCAGAAAGAAACAUAGAAAUCUUAACGAACAGCCUCACCCUAAUUCCAGCUAGUAAGGCCAGCUGUGAAAUCCUGAGCAUACAUCACUAAUGUGUUUCAAAGUCCAAUUCCAAGAUUUUCUUGGAAAUCUUUAUACAGCUGGCCUAAACAUGUAGACGGGAUGAUGUUUCAGAAGUAAAGUAGACCUAAAUCUAAAACAUCCAUUAAGUCUGCCCAAACGUGAUCAGGAAUUAUAUUACAAAAGGCUAAGGAUUUUUAACUCCAUCAGUGCUAAGAAAGGGAUGGAGGCAUAUUGGGGGUUCAAAAACAGAGCAAUGCAAUUUACUAAAAGUGGAGCUGUCACUAUAGCAACCAUAAGGGCAUUCCUGUUGACUGUCUCACUUUUCAACUUUUCCACUGACUUCUUUUUUAUACAUAACCCCCCAAAAUAUCACUAAUAUUUUUGCACUCUGCUCCAAGAGAUUUUGCAUUUGAAUAUCCUAAACUUAUUUGCUAUGUUCUAUAACAUGAAAUGGAUUGAAUGGAUGUAGCCUUUGAAGACUUGCUUGUACAUGCUGUUCAUAUGGGAGAUAUAGUGAAUUCAGUUAUAUUUAUAUUAAUUCCCCAAACUGCCUCAGGACACACCCAUGGGUAGUCCCCUUUUCAAAAACUCCCAAGCAUACCCCAGUUCUAUCACAGUACACCUUUAUAGGACCUCCAAAGUGAAUGUGUUUCUGAGCAUGUAACGAACCUCAAAGUAUCAAUACUGGCAUUAAUCAAAGUCAAACAUGUUUAAAAAUAGUCUGUGAAAAUAAAAUUCAUUUUCUCUGUUAAAGAAAUAGAUCAGACAUUCCUGAUGUCAAUUAAAAUGUACUGAAAUAGCCCUGGCCCUUGUCACAUCUUUAGCCAUAGUACUUUAAAAAAAAAAAAAAAAAAACUUUUUUUUUUUUUUUUUUAAAUGGUCUUUUAAAUUCUUUUUCCUAUAUUUUAGUCAAGAUACAAAAUAUAUUUCGAGGUUAAACAUUGAAAGAUCACGUAUGGUGAUGCAUCACCCUGGCAAGACAAGUAUAAUUAUUUAAUUAUGAAUUACCCAUUACUAUAACAACCACUUCCUUUCUAGAAUCCCCUGUCCUUUUUUCCUGUUUUAGCCAACAGCCAGGGAUAGUUUUCCCCCCUCAAACAUUGUUUAUCAUGGUUCUAUCAGGUGAGUUCAGCCUCUCUCCUACUUAACCCCUUAAGGACACAUGACAUAUGUGACAUGUCAUGAUUCCCUUUUAUUCCAGAAGUUUGGUCCUUAAGGGGUUAAGGAGCCAGUAAACAGCCUACCUAUAAAGGACUAACUGGUUAUACGUCACUUAUAAAUUAUUUGGACGACAAGGAGGAUGGCAAAUAUAGGUUAGAAUUGUUCUUAUUUUUAUACAUAUGAAUUAACAAUACUUUAUUAUUGGGACAUGAAUGGAAUAUACUAACCAGUGACAACUGAAAACAUCAAUUAUAAAAACGAACAUAGAAUUAAUAAAAAUUAUACAAAAUUAAGCCCUGUGCUCAAACUCCCACUACUCCUGGGCGGCAGCAUUGACUAUAGUACACAUCAGCUCCAAUACAUACAACCAUUUACCUUGAAAUGGCAGGUGAGCUUACACUUAAAUGGCGGUUGGAGUGAUUCUAAAUAACCUCCAGUUAUUUAAAUGUGCAUAGGGAUUUGGGGUAGUGCGCAAGUAACUCUGUUCUAUAGAAUGAAUAAAGUCUCAAUAACGAUUUAAUGAUUCAUACAUAGAAAAUGUCUUAUUAGCGAAAAAAAUCAGUACAUAUUAUACUACAGUUGAAAGUCAUAAAGAAAAAUAUACACAGAACAUGUCGCUUUUAAGAAAUAGCGUGCAAUUUUAAUGUGACCUCAGAAAACAUUUUAAAAUAGUUCAAAUUUUUGUUCAUAUUUACGCCAUUAUGAAAUUUACAAACAACUCUAGCAGUGCUAAAAUAAUUUAUAUAAAAAAAAUAAAAAAAUCAAUAUGAGUUUUUUUGUAUUUUGACCUUUAUUAGUUUAAAUCUCCCUUUAUAUUUAGUGUUUUAAUAUUAAACUAUGUUUGAUUUCGGUAAAAGCCUUUUUUGUCUGUCUGCUUUUUACAUUCAAAUUUGUUCACAUCGUUUGUGGGCAAGACAGAAAGUGUCAGGCAUAAAAGCAUUCUAAGCCUAAACGCAAACCGAGUCAAGCAACGUGACCAAGGUGAUUAAUGGGACACGCAAGAACAAAACACCCAGAGAAGAAAUCAUAAAAGUUCUCAGCCUUGUAUGUUUUCUAUAUCAAUUAAUACAUAUUUUGAAAUACAAAAACCGUGAAGAUAAAACCACUAUGCCUUUUUGCAUUUGCAAAAAAAAACCAGAAAAAAACCCCCAAACAACAAAAUGACAUUUUUGUUGCUUAAAAUCAAAUAACAUUUCCCAAGAUGAAUGGUCUACAGACACGUUUGAUAAUGGCCAGCGAAUACCAGAGUAAACAUGAGUGAUUUUAUUAGAGUUCAUUCACGUUAAGUAAAUGCAUUUCAUAUUUUAAGGAUAAAUAAGGAAACCUUGAAGAGGUAAAUGCUUUAUUAAAAGGUAUUCAUGUCAUAAAAUGAGAAUUUUACCUUUAAAAUAGCAUUUGAUAGCAUUGCAUAGUUUCUGUAGAGAACAUCAGCGUUUUUUUUUUACUGUAAAUGUAGGCAUUGCUUAUUUGUAUUUAGCAACCAUUACUUUCUUUACUUUCACUCAAGAUUUUAUAAAGUAAUUAUUGGAUAUCAACCUAUAACAGAUCAAUAAAGAUUUAUCUUAAAUAUGUAAAAUACAUAACUGUGUAUUAUGGAAAAAUAAUGCAUUUGAGGCGUACUGGAAACAUUAGAACAAACCGUGUGACUGAUAGUUGAGUGGUUGAUGAAUGACUCCGUAACCUCAAUUUUGCAUUAUUUUCUCUUAAAGAGUUACUCCAAUCCCAAUGGCCACUUCAGUGAUUUGAAGUGGUCAUGGUGCCAGGAACGGGUAUGUGCAGGAUUUCGCUUUGAAACUCACAUACAAAGUUUAUAGUUGGGAAUGUUGGGAUUGUCGCGGUUGCUGUUUGGUUGGAACAACCUUAAAAAAGGUUGUUCCAACCCCAAAAAACCUGUGAUUUUAGAAAACACGUUUUUUGUAACUCUUGGUGGCUUGCUCCCAUGCCCCUUUAAAAUAAAUAACUAAAUGAUAAAUAACUAAAUGAAAACUCAACUUAGAGUCAACUCAGUGCCAAGACAAAUUUCUUCAUGAAGCCUGAUACUCCGGUGUACUCACCACCCCUAACCACAAGGGUAAAGAAUGCCACUAAAGCAGGGCUGGGGAAGGACUUAGAGCACCACCGAGUGGAGGACCAUACCACCAUUGGAUGUACAAUGAAUAUUUUUUUAUGCACAGAAUUGCCGUUCGCAGCACGGAACAAGAUGUAGCUAAUAAUAAUAAUGCUUCCAGAAGUGAACUUACACCACCAGCAGCAAAACCAAUUACCUCUGUAUGUGCAGCAUUUGUAACUGAAAUGCUUCACAAACAGCCUCCAAGCACCAUGACCAUUUCAAAACAUGGAAAUGGUCAAAGUGCUUGGAGUAACACUUUAACCUUCGUCUCUUCAGAGGAGCUGGUGAUAGAAAAUCCUGCUGCCUUUGUCUCCCCAGCCACUCUCCCAGCACAUCUAUUUAGAGAGAAGAGCUGAAUUAAUGAUGGUGCCUGCAAAAAUCAGUAUAACUCCCACUAAUCUUUGGCAAGCUAGAGCGAACCCCAUUUUCAAUGACCAAUAAUCACAGGAUGUCACCUCUGUGAAUUACUUCCAUUGUUGUGUCAUGUCUGCCUAACUGGAGUAAAAAUUAUUUUGUUACAUAUUUGAAUGGAAUUAAGUUAUUUUUUUGGUAUUGUGUCUGCUUGCCUUUACAUUUUUCAUGUAUAUAUUACAUAAAUAAAUGUUUCAAAUAUGCAAUUUUGAAGUAAAUACACAGUGAAUUAUAUAAAGCACAAAUAUACACUGCUUAGUUUUGUCAAGGUGGUUUUCCUUAUUAAAGGAACAGUGUAGGUACCAUAACAACUUAAUAAAAAUGUAGUUGUUCUAAUGCCAGGAGGUCCCUAGUGCUGGCUCCCCUUCAGGGGUUAAACCGUUCUCCAAGGGUUUAAACCCAUAGUCUUUUUUUCCUGCACUAGGGACCUCCUGGCACCAGAAUAACCUCAAUGAAGCUUUUCAACAGGGUUUUCCUUUAAUGCCAAAAAUAAACUACAUUUUUAACAUUAUAUUCAUUCUAUUUUGCCAGUUGAACCAAUAUUACAGUAAAGAUGCACAUCAAGUAAAUAUUAAAUAAUGUAUCCAACAGCAUCCCGGAGAUUUUUUUUUAUAUAUAGCAUUUGUAAGGCUCCAAAUAAUCAGAUAUACAUAUAAUAUACAUAAAGUUGGCAGCAUUUUGGGAAGAUAAAUAGGGGGUACCUUACGGAGAGUAUAAAACUAUACAGCAUUUAAAAAUUACUGUACCACUUUUACCGAUCAAAAUUAAUUCCAUCUACUUAGAUUGCCCCCACCCCCAAAAAAAAAAUCAGCUUUAAGGGAAUCCUCGAAGCACCAUAACUGCCACAGCUCACUGCAGUGGUUAUGGUGCCAGACAUGCUCUGGUGCUGUCCUAGUAUAAUCUAACAGUUUUAGAACAGUUUGAAAAAUGAUCUAUCUUGGUGCCUGCAGCCACAUCCUCUACUUCCUGGAAUCUUCUGCAGGAGAAAUUGAUUAGCAUGGUCGUGCUCAUUGGCCGAGAGCAUCAGCCGUGUUGUGAUUAGCUAAACAGAGCCAACUGGCUUCUUUUGCAGAAGAAUAAUGAAUGAAAUGCCAAUGCCUAGGGACCCAGAGAGGUUAUUAAAUCAUUAUAAAACAGUUUGACAAAUUACUGGCUGGGGCACUGCGGUUAUAAUGUUUGGAGUAUUCCUUUUUCUUAAAAAUGCAAGUAAAGCUUUUCAUCUUGCUCUCAUUCGUGUGAUACAUACAAACUGCACAGUAUGAGCACAUGCACACACACACACGCACACACAUAUAUAUAUUUAUACGCUGAUCAGCGACAACGUUAAAACCACUGACAGGUGACAUGAAUAACAUUAUAUCGUUACAAUAGCAUCAAGGGUGGGAUAUAUUAAUCAGCAUGUGAACAGUCGGUUUUUGAAUUUCACGUGUUGGAAGCAGAAAUAAAUGUGCAAGUGAAAAAAUCUGAGUGACUUUGACAAGGGCCAAAUGGUGAUGGGUAGAUGACUGGGUCAGAGCAUCUCCAAAACGGUGGGUUCCUGGUAUGCAGUGGUUAGUAUCUACCAAAAGUGGUACAAGGAAGGACAACCAAAAGUGGUGCAAGGAAGGACAACCGGUAUACUGGCUUCAGGGUGCCAAAGACUCACUGAUGCAUGGAGGGCAAAGGCUAGUCCUUCUGGCCUGAUCACACAAAAGAGUCACUGUAGCUCAAAUUGCUGAAAAACGUUAUGCUGGCCAUGAUAGAAAGUUGUCAGAACACACAGCGCAUUGCAGUUUGCUGCACAUAGGGCUGUGUAGCUGCAGCCUGUAAGUUCCUUCAUUGGGGACAUGAGCAUCAGAACUGGACCAUGGAGCAAUAGAAGAAGGUUACCUGGUCUGAUAAAUCACACUUUCUUUUAGAUCAGGUGGACUGGUGGAUUGCUGGGUGCAUGUGCAUCGUUAUUCUCGGGACGUAGGCAAGCUGGUGGAGGUACUGUUAUGCUCUGGACAAUGUUCUGCUGGGAAAACUUGGGUCCUGGCAUUUAUGUGAAUGUUACUUUGAUACCUACCUACUUUCACCGCAAUGGUAUUCCCUGAUGUUAGUGGUCUCUUUUAGCAGGAUAAUGCACUCUGCCACACUGCAAAUAUUGUUUAGCAUCAGUUUGAGAGACAAAAAGGUCAAGGUGUUGCCUCGGCCUCCAAAUUCCCCAAAACUCAAUCUAAUCCACAUCUAUGGGAUGUACUGGAACAACAAAUCCAAUCUAUGAAGGCCCCACCUCACAAAUUUCUGGACUUAAAGAAUCUGCUGCUAAUGUCUUGGUGCCAGCACAGGACACUUACAGAAGUUUUGUGGCAGCAUGAGGGGGACACAAUAUUAGGCAGAUGGUUUUAAUAUUGUGGCUGAUCGCUCUCUCUCUCUCUCUCUCUAUAUAUAUAUAUAUAUUUGUGUAAGGGGCCAAUAGCCGUAUAUGGAGUAAGGUUCAAGUAAGAACUUAGGAUAGUAUAAAAGAGCAAGUCGGUGGUGGUGUGCCGAGACCGACGAUACGGUAGGCCUGUAAAUAAAGAGGGCCCACCAAGGAGUAAGAAAAGUAAAGUAAAGGUAAAGAAAAGUAGAAAGUGUUAUGAUUGAGGAGUGGGUGGGAGGGUCAUUCAGAAGCUGACCUUGAUCGGUAAGGAGUCAGUUAAGGGGUGUACCUUAUAUAGGGGAGUGAGUUAACUUAAGCCUCUCCCACAAUUACAGGCCAAACGGCCUAAUAAUAGGGGCAAAUAGCCGUAUAUGGAGUAAGCUUCAAGUAAGACGUUUGAAGUUUUGUCCCUUUGGAUACUCCUGACAUUUAAAAAAAAAAAAGACACUAAGCUUUUAAGUAAU